rnacentral:misc_RNA from 1 species
GCCCAUCAUAUUGUUUUCUUCCCAUUCAUGGCCAAAGGCCACACCAUUCCUCUUCUUCACCUCAUCCGCCUCCUCCGCCGCCGUUUUCCCCACCUCUGCCUCACCAUCUUCACCACCGCUGCCUACCGUCCCUUCAUUUCCCAGUUCCUCUCCGACUGCGGCACCGAUUCCAUCUCCAUCGUCGACCUCUGUUUUCCCCAAAAUGCCCCUGGCCUCCCCGCUGGCGUCGAAUCCACCGAUACCCUCCCUUCACUCUCCCUCCACCCUCAACUUUGCGUCGCCACGGAGCUGAUGCAACCCGAAUUUGAAAAACGCCUCCAAUCGCUCCCCGUUCCGGUCACCUUCUUAAUCUCCGACAUGUUCUUCUGGUGGACCCUCGAGUCUGCUUCCAAAUUGGGCAUCCCGCGAAUCAACUUCAGCGGCAUGUCCAAUUACUCCUCCGCCAUCACAUCCUCCCUCAUGAAACACAGAGUCCUCACCGAAGUUCAGUCCGUGGACGAGCUGGUCACCGUCACUGAUUUCCCUCGGGUGAAAAUGAGCUACAGCGAUUUGGACCCAGUUUUAUGGUCGGAAGCCGACCCGACAAGCCUCCACUUUCAACUCAUAAUGAAGGUAAUCCAGGCAGAAGUCAGCAGCUACGGAUUG